rnacentral:lncRNA from 1 species
AAUUUACUUUGCGAACCAUCGGCUAAGCCUGUGAUUACCGAAAUCCAAUUUUCUGCGAAUGGAACUUUAUGUGCCCCAUCGACUUCGAAUUUACUAGUGACUUCUGAACCAUUGGCUCAGCCUAUGAAUAACGAUGCAUCGUUGUCUACUGCAAAAGAUAACUAUCACAAUUAUAUUACUGUGCAAAC